AUCGAACGCUGGCGGCAGGCCUAACACAUGCAAGUCGAGCGAGCGGCCGAAGUCUGAUUAGCUGGUUGGCGGGGUAAAGGCCCAGCAAGACGGCGAUCAGUAGCGGGUUUGCGAGGAUGAUCCGCCACACUGGGACUGAGACACGGCCCAGACUCCUACGGGAGGCAGCAGUGGGGAAUUUUGAGCAAUGGGGGCGACCCUGACGCAGCCAUGCAGCGUGAGUGAAGAAGGCCUUCGGGGUGUAAAGUUCUUUCGGGGACGAUGCGUUAAUCACAGAAGAAGCACCGGCUAACUCCGUGCCAGCAGCCGCGGUAAUUC
rnacentral:rRNA from 1 species